GGUCAAGCGAACAAGUGCAUGUGGUGGAUGCCUUGGCGAUCACAGGCGAUGAAGGACGCGGUAGUCUGCGAAAAGCGGCGGGGAGCUGACAAACGAGCUUUGAUCCGCUGAUGUCCGAAUGGGGAAACCCGGCCCGUAUGGGUCACUCUUAGCUGAAUACAUAGGCUAUGUGGAGCGAACGCGGUGAACUGAAACAUCUAAGUAACCGCAGGAAAAGAAAUCAACCGAAAUUCCCAAAGUAGUGGCGAGCGAAAUGGGAUGAGCCUGUACUCUUUAUCUGUAUUGUUAGCUGAACGCUCUGGAAAGUGCGGCCAUAGCAGGUGAUAGCCCUGUAAGCGAAAACAGUGUGGAAGAACCAAGUGUACGACAAGUAGGGCGGGACACGUGAAAUCCUGUCUGAAGAUGGGGGGACCAUCCUCCAAGGCUAAAUACUCGUGAUCGACCGAUAGUGAACCAGUACCGUGAGGGAAAGGCGAAAAGAACCCCAGGAGGGGAGUGAAAUAGAUCCUGAAACCGCAUGCAUACAAACAGUCGGAGCCUGGAAACGGGUGACGGCGUACCUUUUGUAUAAUGGGUCAGCGACUUACGUUCAGUAGCGAGCUUAACUGACUAAGGCAGGCGUAGCGAAAGCGAGUCCGAACAGGGCGAUCAGUUGCUGGGCGUAGACCCGAAACCAAGUGAUCUAUCCAUGGCCAGGUUAAAGGUGCGGUAACACGUACUGGAGGACCGAACCCACUAACGUUGAAAAGUUAGGGAAUGAGCUGUGGAUAGGGGUGAAAGGCUAAACAAACUUGGAAAUAGCUGGUUCUCUCCGAAAACUAUUUAGGUAGUGCCUCGUGUGUUACCUUCGGGGGUAGAGCACUGUCAUGGUUGUGGGGUCCAUUGCGGAUUACUACGCCAUAGCAAACUCCGAAUACCGAAGAGUCCAAUCACGGGAGACAGACAUCGGGUGCUAACGUCCGGUGUCAAGAGGGAAACAACCCAGACCGCCAGCUAAGGUCCCAAAGAUUGGCUAAGUGGGAAACGAAGUGGGAAGGCUAAAACAGUCAGGAGGUUGGCUUAGAAGCAGCCACCCUUUAAAGAAAGCGUAAUAGCUCACUGAUCGAGUCGUCCUGCGCGGAAGAUGUAACGGGGCUCAAGCCAGUCACCGAAGCUGCGGAUGCACGCAUUAGCGUGUAUGGUAGGAGAGCGUUCCGUAAGCCUGCGAAGGUGCGUUGAAAAGCGUGCUGGAGGUAUCGGAAGUGCGAAUGCUGACAUGAGUAGCGAUAAAGGGGGUGAAAAGCCCCCUCGCCGUAAGCCCAAGGUUUCCUACGCAACGUUCAUCGGCGUAGGGUGAGUCGGCCCCUAAGGCGAGGCAGAAAUGCGUAGCUGAUGGGAAGC
rnacentral:ncRNA from 1 species